UAGUUCAGUUGGUAGAGCACAAGGCUUCCAACCUUCUGGUCGUGGGUUCUCAAGCCCCAC
rfam:Zea mays cultivar B73 chromosome 7, whole genome shotgun sequence.